GUAGGUGACAAGCGUUGUCCGGAUUUACUGGGCGUAAAGAGCGCGCAGGCGGUCGAUCAAGUCGAGUGUGAAAGCCCCCGGCUCAACUGGGGAGGGUCAUUCGAUACUGAUCGACUCGAAGGCAGGAGAGGGUAGUGGAAUUCCCGGUGUAGUGGUGAAAUGCGUAGAUAUCGGGAGGAACACCAGUGGCGAAGGCGACUACCUGGCCUGUUCUUGACGCUGAGGCGCGAAAGCUAGGGGAGCAAACGGGAUUAGAUACCCCGGUAGUCCUAGCCGUAAACGAUGGACACUAGGUGUUGGUGGUAUCAACCCCGCCAGUGCCGAAGCUAACGCAUUAAGUGUCCCGCCUGGGGAGUACGGCCGCAAGGCUA
rnacentral:rRNA from 1 species